UGUGGAUGGGGUAUGCUGUGGUGUGUUUGUACUGAAUAUCAGUUGUGUAAUGAUAAUAUGUGUGCUGAAUGUCACGUGUGUGAAGUGAUAACACUAUACUGAACUUUACUUGAUUGUGUGAUAAUGUUGACAGUGUCGUCAACCAGCUGUGUCUUGUCAUGUUAAAGGUGUGAUAAUAUUGACAAUGUCGUCAACCAGCUGUGUCUUGUCAUUUUAAAGGUGUGAUAAUAUUGACAAAUGUCGUCAACCAGCUGUGUCUUGUCAUUUUAAAGGGUCACCAAGUAAGAAGGCCCCACAACCUGUUGUAUGAUAUGGUUGUCACAUACUGUUGUAUGAUAUGGUUGUAACAUACUGUUGUAUGAUAUGGUUGUCACAUACUGUUGUAUGAUAUGGUUGUCACAUACUGUUGUAUGAUAUGGUUGUCACAUACUGUUGUAUGAUAUGGUUGUCACAUACUGUUGUAUGAUGUGGUUGUCACAUACUGUUGUAUGAUGUGGUUGUCACAUACUGUUGUAUGAUGUGGUUGUCACAUACUGUUGUAUGAUGUGGUUGUCACAUACUGUUGUAUGAUGUGGUUGUCACAUACUGUUGUAUGAUAUGGUUGUCACAUACUGUUGUAUGAUAUGGUUGUCACAUACUGUUGUAUGAUAUGGUUGUCACAUACUGUUGUAUGAUAUGGUUGUCACAACCUGUUGUAUGAUAUGGUUGUCACAUACUGUUGUAUGAUAUGGUUGUCACAUACUUUUAUUUAUGUGUUCAGAUUUCUUAACAGCAUUUUGUCAGUUUCCAAGAAUUGAAUUUGAAUUUUUUUUUCUGUUAUUAUUCCUGUGUUAUGAGAUAUCAGAUGAAUACAAUAUUUUUCAUGAUAUUGUCAAGAAGGAUUAUGUUUGUCAAGACCUUGACUAUCACUUAUUUGCAUAAAUGUGCAAUACUGUAUUAUUACAUGUACAAAUGUGUAUAAUGUUAACUUGCAUGUACAGUGUACAAUAUUGUAACUGUAUAAUAAUAGCACAAUUUAAAUAUGUAUUUCUUAUAAUAGAAACAAUGUUGAUUAAUUUAGUUCAGACAUUUUGUAUUCUUCUUGGUGCUUAUACAGUGGACAAUGAAAAUUCAUCUGCAGACAAAAUCACAUUAUAAUUUACAAUAACUGUAAAACUCAUUGUUAUCAAUUCUUAUUUAAAAAAUUUUAAGUUUAAAAGAUGUUAGGUAUAUAAGGUUUUGCAUGAAGAUCAGAAGUCUAAAUAUUUGUCUACUAUUUAUUAAAAUAUGUAUUUAAUUACAUGUAACAAAGACAUGAAUUUAUCCCGGUUUAACCCCAUAUAACUCAUUGUAUUUUAUCAUACAUAUGGUUUAACCCCCUAAUUCAAGGUAUUUAUCGUCUUACUGUUUUAUAACGGUUUAACCCCAUAAUUCAUUGUAUUUCAUUUAAACAAAGGUACAUGUAUUAUAACGGUAUAACCCCGUAAUUCAUUGUAUUUCAUCUUACAUGUUUUAUAAUGGUGUAACCCCAUAAUUCAUUGUAUUUCAUCUUACAUGUAUUAUAAUGGUUUAACCCCGUAAUUCAUUGUAUUUCAUUUUACAUGUACAGUUGUAUUAUAAUGGUUUAACCCCAUAAUUCAUUGUAUUUCAUUUUACAUGUAUUAUAAUGGUUUAACGCCAUAAUUCAUUGUAUUUCAUUUUACAUGUAUUAUAAUGGUUUAACCCCAUAAUUCAUUGUAUUUCAUCUUACAUGUUUUAUAAUGGUUUAACCCCAUAAUUCCGUGUAUGUUGUCUUACAUGUAUAAUAACAGUUUAACCCUAAAAUUCAUUGUAUUUCAGCUAAUUUAAAUACUAAUAGGUCACCAUUAUUACAUUUUUGUUACUGACAAUUUUAUCUUUUUGAGUAUUAUCAAACAUUUUAUAUUUGUUUUCAUGUUUGUUUUAUUGUAUUGUUAAAUAAAUAGUGAAAUAUCUUUAAAAUUAAGUGUUUCUUUUUAUCCUUGCUUUACCAUGUAGAGGUAGCAUUUGAUUUGUUCGUGUUUUAAACUUUCACUUUGAAAGAUGUUAAGCCUCAGUGGUGGAGGUUUGAGGGGAGUUUAUUGGAAUAAAUAAAGUAUUAUUUCCUCUUCCCCA